UCAGCCUCCCGAGCAGCUGGGACUACAGGCACCCGCCGCCACACCCAGCUAAUUUUUUGUAUUUUUAGUAGAGAUGGGGUUUCACUGCGUUAGCCAGGAUGGUCUUGAUCUCCUGACCCUGGGAUCCACCCGCCUCGGCCUCCCAAAGUGCUGGGAUUACAGGCGUGAGCCACCGCGCCUGGCCCAAGAACCCAAGUUUUAGAUCUGGAGUGAUGUGAGCAUGACAUUCAUUUCCUGAGGCCCAGGGGUGAAGGAGCUGAGGACAGCACGGGUGAAGGAACUCAGCUACAGACAGCAGCUGAUGCACAGGCCUCCCAUCACCGGAAGUCACCCGGAAUUAGGAUGUGCUCAGAAGGUUACAAAGCUGCCUCGAGGUGGGAACACAUUAAUCCAAGAGCAGAUCCCUGAUUGUAUAAAAAUGUACUAGAUUCAGUGGGGGCAUUUUAAAUCAGCAGGGAAGGACAGACAGAUAAACAGAAGGACAAACAGUAUUGGGAUUGGGAUAAAUGCUCAGCUUUUGCCUAAAUCUUAGGGACUUAACACAAGCAUCACUUAUUUGCUCACGAUUCUGUGAGUGGACCAUUUGGUUUGGCUCACAGGGCAGUGACUGUGCUCGUCUUACCUGAGCGGACCUGCAUGUCUGCGGUUAACUGGGUUGGCAGAGACAGAGUGACUGUCUUCCUCCAGGAAGCAGCAGGUUGGCUCUGGCUCCUUCGUGGGCAGCUGGUCUCCAGGGCAGCAAGAGAGACCAAGCCCCCGUGCACAUGCUACAGCCUCUGUGCGCAUCAGAGUUGUUAAUAUCCCAUUGGCCAGCGCAAGUCACACGGCCAAGCCCAGAUCAAGGAGUGGAAAGAUGGAGCCUGUCUCCUCCUGGGAGAGGAGGCAAAGGAGGUGGGAGCAUUAUGUGGCCACUUGUGUUUGCAAUCUACCAUACUUGGCACUUUGAGAAAAGAAUUGACUGAGAAACUUGCUUCAAAUAGGGCAUUCACUGAAAUGAAGCCCCAGUUGAAGUAAAAUGCAUAUAUAAAAAAUGAAACUGUGACCGAUUUUAAGGACAGUAUUGGUAAAUACUUCUGUGCUCUUGGAGGAGAAGACCCUUAUUGUCAUGACAUGUCAGAAAUCACAAUGAAAGAAUUAUUGUAACUUGCAUUCAUAAAAAUUAAAAUUCCUCAUUAAAAACAUCAUGAAUGAAAUUAAAA
rnacentral:lncRNA from 1 species